UAAAUUCAAAACAAUGGCAAAGCAACUUCCAUUGGAACAAUGUUUGUAAGUCAUUGCUCUUUGUUUUAGGAAAAUCACAGCUGUGUAUAAAAGCAACAGCAAAUUGUUUUAAAAUAUAACAAAUACAAAUUUUUCAAUAUCUAAAGAAUAAGCAAAUAAAAAUUAUAUAUAUAUGUAUGUAUAUGCUGAUGAGACCAGAAUCAUGUUGAAGUAGAUAUUUACUGAAAAAUUAAAGGUUUACAAAAUAGGAUCCUUGAAGGGACUUAUCUAGGAGCAAACAAGUAAUAAAUGAGAACAAAAACGGGUGGAUCUGACAAUAACUGAGAACAAACUAGGUGCAAGAAUUAGGGUAAAAUUAGAAAAAUACCUGACCAAAAUAGAGAAAUAAACAGAGAGCUAAAUGACAAAACAUAGAAAAAGAACAAAGAGAUAAACUAAACUUACAAAUGCUCACAAUAACAGUUUUAUUGGUGUAUACAUAAUCAUAUUUACACAAAAUUAGACAAAAUAAUAAUUAUUUUAUGCUUUUUAUUCAAAGAUACAAAGCAUGUAAAAAAAUCUUUAUUUGUUGUAUGUAAAAUCAGGACACAUUUUACAAAAAACAAUGCAAAAUACAGAAAGAAUAUCUGCUAAAACAAUACCCUCCAGGGUUAAUACUCAGUUCCAUUACAUUGAUUACAUAGUAUGUUAGGCAUGUGUGUUAUCUUU